GUGGGGAAUAUUGGACAAUGGGCGCAAGCCUGAUCCAGCCAUGCCGCGUGAGUGAUGAAGGCCUUAGGGUUGUAAAGCUCUUUCAGUAGGGAAGAUAAUGACGGUACCUACAGAAGAAGCCCCGGCUAACUUCGUGCCAGCAGCCGCGGUAAUACGAAGGGGGCUAGCGUUGUUCGGAUUUACUGGGCGUAAAGCGCACGUAGGCGGAUUGGUCAGUUAGAGGUGAAAUCCCGAAGCUCAACUUCGGAACUGCCUUUAAUACUGCCAGUCUCGAGUCCGGAAGAGGUGAGUGGAACUCCUAGUGUAGAGGUGGAAUUCGUAGAUAUUAGGAAGAACACCAGUGGCGAAGGCGGCUCACUGGUCCGGUACUGACGCUGAGGUGUGAAAGCGUGGGGAGCAAACAGGAUUAGAAACCCGAGUAGUCC
rnacentral:rRNA from 1 species